AAAGGGAGACCUAAUUCAGGUAUGGGACGAAAAAAAAGUAGUCGCUACCAAGAAUCAAUCCCAAAAGGUCGGAGCGAGGCGAAAUUGGCUUUCAAACUAGGUUCUGGGUUCAAACAAGACCUGAAUCAGGAACAAGGGCUAUUAGCUCAGGUGGUUAGAGCGCACCCCUGAUAAGGGUGAGGUCCCUGGUUCGAGUCCAGGAUGGCCCACCUGCACAGGUGGCAAAAACAAGAGAAGCGAGGAAUCAGCACCUUAUCUUACUGACAUAGUAAGAGAGAAUGCUGGCUCUGAGUAAAGAGUCCAGAGGAACCUUGAAAACUGCAUAGAGCUAGGUGAAAAAGCCAAAAAAGAAGACCGCAAG
rnacentral:tRNA from 1 species